rnacentral:rRNA from 1 species
AUGAAACACAGGGGGUGGAAAAAAGACCCUAAAUGUUCCUUUUGUGCGGAGAAAGAAACUUCUCAACAUUUAUUUUUCACUUGUCCAGUAGCCAGGGUGACUUGGAGGGCUGUAGCUUGUAUGUUUGGAACUGAUCUAUGCCCUAACAAUAUAUGGCAAUCUUACUCUUGGUGUCAUUCCUUCUUCCCAGAGGGGGAGGUGUUCUAUACUGUGGGCAUUGCAGCCAUAUGCUGGGCUAUCUGGACUUGUCGCAAUAGAGCUACAUUUGAAUUUAUUCCUCUUAAAAACCCGUUUGAAUGCACAUUUUCCACUUGUGCUCUUCUAUAUUACUGGGCAGGGCUGAUGAAGCAAAAGGGAUGCGGACGACCUAAGGACUGGAGCGACCAUGCUGAAGAACAGUGCUUCAAGGCUGAUGCAGAUUUGUGCCACGGCGUACCAGGAAGAUAG